AAAGGCUCUGGCGACUGUUUAUCAAAAACACAGCACUGUGCUAACUCGCAAGAGGACGUAUACAGUGUGACGCCUGCCCAAUGCCGGAAUGUCACGGAAGCGGGUUAGCUUCGGCGAAGCUCGUAACCUAAGCACCGGUCAAUGGCGGCCGUAACUAUGACGGUCCUAAGGUAGCGAAGUUCCUUGUCGGGUAAGUUCCGACGCGCAUGAAUGGCGUAACGACUGGAGCACUGUCUCCACUUCCGACUCGGUGAAAUAGUAGUGGCGGUGAAGAUGCCGCCUACCCGCGACAAGACGGAAAGACCCCAUGAACCUUUACUGUAGCUUUGUAUUGGACUUUG
rnacentral:rRNA from 1 species